rnacentral:rRNA from 1 species
UUUUGGGCAAUGGGCGAAAGCCUGACCCAGCAACGCCGCGGGAGGGAUGAAGUAUUUCGGUAUGUAAACCUCGAAAGAAUGGGAAGAAUAAAUGACGGUACCAUUUAUAAGCUCCGGCUAACUACGUGCCAGCAGCCGCGGUACUACGUAGGGAGCAAGCGUUGUUCGGAUUUACUGGGCGUAAAGGGCGCGUAGGCGGCGCGGUAAGUCACUUGUGAAAUCUCUGAGCUUAACUCAGAACGGCCAAGUGAUACUGCUGUGCUAGAGGUCGGAAGAGGCAACCCGAAUUCUUGGUGUAGCGGUGAAAUGCGUAGAUAUCAAGAGGAACACCUGAGGCGAAGGCGGGUUGCUGGGCCGACACUGACGCUGAUGCGCGAAAGCCAGG